UUUUUAUCUUCCUACACUAAUAAAUGGAAGUGUGGAUGCAUUUUUUCAAGAUUAAUCAUCUUAAAAUUACUAAAUAUAUACGGUUUCUAAGCAACUAUGAUGAAUUAAUGACGUGUGAGGUUCCUAAUGGUAGUUGUGUCAUUCAGAAUGUGCGAGUACAAAAGUGCAUUAUUCUUUCGUAGCCAUCUUACUUGGUUAUUACUUAAGUCGGAACGCAGACAUGGCAUGGUCUCCGGUGGCUAUUUGGUUUAUUUAACCAUCAAUUAAUAGAACAAGUCCGAGUCAUACUGUGAAGUUGGGGGUUUAAUAGUCUCAUGCUUAGUCAAGGCAUAAUGAAAGUUGACUCGAAAAAUAUUUAAUAUCGACUUUGUCAAUCUUUUAUGUCUAAGAAACACCAUUUUCUAAAAGUCAACAUGGUUCUGAUAACAGUGGUGGUCUAUAUGACAUCCCUUAGGCGGAUGAUGUCGAAGUAUGUUUUUAUGGUUAGUUUAUUUUAAUUCUGUUGUUUUAUUUAUCGUCAGAUUUAUGUUUUUAAGUGGUUUCAUGUUGAAGAUUCAGAACUCACUAUUGCAUUCCUAUUUAAGGAGUUUGCCUUCAUGGAAGAUGAUGGCGGCAUACCGAGGAACAACUUCAAGUAAUGACUCAGUUGGAGGCUAAGGCCGCUAAGCAAGCUCGAAUCAUCUAGGGAGGAACCAUCAAUGGCAAUGGCUCCAAGAAGUUUACAACCCGACUCGACUAAUACUAGCAUUGUUGCUAGCGAUCAAGCUGUGCCCAUGAAGUAUAUAUUCUCAAGUCAAGCCCAGUUCAUCGAAGCCUUCAGAACUAUUACAUAUCUCAUGGACCAAGAAACAAUAAAGAUCGCUCUGAUUCAUCAAUGGAUAUGCAUGCGGAUCAUGAUUCAUUUUUUACGACUUCUGUUUGAGGAG